GACGAACGCUGGCGGCGUGCCUAAUACAUGCAAGUAGAACGCUGAAGGAGGAGCUUGCUCUUCUGGAUGAGUUGCGAACGGGUGAGUAACGCGUAGGUAACCUGCCUGGUAGCGGGGGAUAACUAUUGGAAACGAUAGCUAAUACCGCAUAACAGUAGAUGUUGCAUGACAUUUACUUAAAAGGUGCAAUUGCAUCACUACCAGAUGGACCUGCGUUGUAUUAGCUAGUUGGUGGGGUAACGGCUCACCAAGGCGACGAUACAUAGCCGACCUGAGAGGGGGAUCGGCCACACUGGGACUGAGACACGGCCCAGACUCCUACGGGAGGCAGCAGUAGGGAAUCUUCGGCAAUGGACGGAAGUCUGACCGAGCAACGCCGCGUGAGUGAAGAAGGUUUUCGGAUCGUAAAGCUCUGUUGUAAGAGAAGAACGAGUGUGAGAGUGGAAAGUUCACACUGUGACGGUAUCUUACCAGAAAGGGACGGCUAACCACGUG
rnacentral:rRNA from 1 species